GAAAUACGCAAAAAAUUACCAAAAAGGGUUAAAAUUUUCCCGGGUUCUAAUUUAGGGUUUCAGGGCAGCGAUACUGCCGUGUUCCGGCGUUGGCCCUACCAUGUUCUGGGGUCGCUUCUGCUGCCUACGGCAGUUCAUCCUCUCAGUCAUGCCUGUUUUGGCUGGUUCUUUACGAAAUCCUAUAAAAUUCGGGGUUAGGUGGCCCCUACUAGU
rnacentral:lncRNA from 1 species